rnacentral:ncRNA from 1 species
GGGCGCCUGCAGCAUGACGGUCAAGGCCCUCACGCCCGUGCGCACAGUGAAUCUGGUCGCGCCCCUGGCCCACAAGGCCACGGACAUGCACGCCACGGUAACCGGCGCCCCCACGGGCGCAAGGACCGGUGCAGCCGCCCCGCUGAUCGCCCGCACUGGGCUUCGGCAGGCCGGCCAACACAGCGCGAUGGUUGC